CACUCUCUAUUUUUCUCACAGACUAUUUUCUUAUACCUUGUCUGUGAAACCUCACUCUUUCUUUCUCUCUUUGUUGGUGUGUCUUAUACUGAAGGUAGAGAUACCUAUUUAUAGUUGCAGAAACUCCAUGUUGAAGUAUGUAGUGACAUCAUUUCUACUGCAAAAGUCAGCCGCCCAAAUCUUUUUGUUGAUUUGGCUGGCAAAAAGGAGUAAAUUUGUGGACUUUUACAUAUGGGGCUGGACCCCACAAACUCCUCCUCCAGUCCCAUUUAUCUAGAGGAGAUAACACAGUCUUCUAGUUUGAAUGCAUGCCGACAAGUUCUUUGCAUAGCUCGAACUUGUUCC
rnacentral:lncRNA from 1 species